UGUAAGCGUAUACCAAAGUUGUUGCAGUUAAAACGCUCGUAGUCGGAAUUUGGCAGUUCCGGAUGUGUGCACGUCGUGUGCGCACUUCGCGGGGAUUGCUUUUGUGGUCUUGCGUAGGAUGAGGCACUUUUAUUAGUGAACGUCCUCACGCAACCACUUUUUACUGUGAGAAAAUCAAAGUGCUCAAAGCAGGCAUUUGCCGUGAAUGUAUUAGCAUGGAAUAAUAGAAUAGGACUCGGUUCUAUUUUGUUGGUUUGUUGGGGCUGAGUAAUGAUUAAGAGGGACAGUUGGGGGCAUUUGUAUUUCGGCGCUAGAGGUGAAAUUCUUAGAUUGCCGAAAGACAAACUGCUGCGAAAGCGUCUGCCAAGGAUGUUUUCAUUGA
rnacentral:rRNA from 1 species